GACAUGUGUGACUUCCUAAAUCCAGUGAUCAGGGCGAGAGACAACAGAGGGUUGCCCAUUCACAAAGCCGUGGACCUCGCACCUCAACACAGCCGACCCAUCGCCAUUCAGAAAAAGCAACCUCCAGACUGGACUAGACGCUAGCCCACCUCAUGGAUUCUGGAGAUUAUACAGCUCUUUCAGUGGCAUUUACUGGAUAGGCUCAGUUAAACCGCUAUUGAUUACCCAGAGGGAGACAGUGAUUGGCUGUGACUGGACAGCAACCCGCUGACCCAAAGUACAUCAAAGGCGGACGUUCUGAUGGAAGCCCGGAGGCCCCAUCAAUCAAAGCCUAAUGCCAGGGGUGACAUCAGCACGACGCCACAGUCACGUCAGACUCCAGUGACGGAGGAUGCUGCGCCAGCAGUUUCAGCAAUAUUGUAAAGACCGUUGACACACACACACACACUGUACUCAGACACUGAGUGGGAGGGGCAGAAGGGAAGUAGGAAAGGACUCCGAUCCUUUUCCUGUCUCAAUUUUUAAAAUGAAGUGAGAUAAUAGAAAGUCAAGGAGAACACAGAUCAAGCAGCACUUGGCUCUCUGCGUUUCAGUUAGCAUAAUGGAAUAUUAAAAAAAGCCGCAACGGAAAAUGUUUAAGUGGAACCCAGAAGAUGUUGACUUCCAAGCAGAGACACACAGUGCAGUGCCAAGCAGCAGCCAUUUGGUCUAAUUGACACGGGCUGAUUACUCCAAGUCCCUAGAGACAGGAAAUGGUGGGGCACGACUGGCAUUCUGGGCCACCUGCCACAAACAUUCCCCUUUUAUGAUGCUGAUGAGGCCUGUUUAGAAGGCAUUGAUUUGCUAGCCUUUACCUAGACUGACACAAGGCAGCUCCACAAUAAUGAGAGACUUUGUGUUUCCUCAAAAGGGAAAGGGCAAAUGUUUAUAAUGCAAACCUAAUGUAUAAAACAAGGUAACAAAACUAUUCCUCACUCAAGAAGCCCAUAACAUGUAAGAUUCUAAUCUAUGCUUUUCAAAAUAAGGACACGGUUACUGUCACAAGGACAUGUAACAAAUGUGUCAAUGUACGUUUACACAAGGAGACUGAAUGAAGAGAAUGGAGAAAGAAGGCAGGUGAAUGCUAUGCAUUCUUGGUAAUUCCAACCAUAACGAGAUCUGGGGUUGGGUUUUUCAAGGCUAUUCACCCAUAAUACCGGUAGCUACCGUGUUUGAAAGCGCCUGUGCAGCACUGCAUCACUAGCUACUAGCAAAGGUAUUCUACUGGUCCUUUUACUAACCAUGUGGUGCACUACCCUUUGACCACAUAAUUAAGAUGUGUCUGGCUGUAUAUUAUGAAUACAUUAUUGAUCAGCCUAGGACAGCCUGGUGUGCUGGCUGCUUCCCCUCAGGCACCCCUGACCCACCGUUCCACCUCAUUUGCAGGUAGACUGCGCUGGUCUGCCACUUCCUGAACAUUGCCAGCCUAUGCUUCUGGUGUUGCAGCGGGGUGUUUAGUGAUGCCUGGCGAAUGGCCUAAAGGGCUCUGAGUGCAACAUAAGCCUCAUAAUGAUUUUUGCCCUCCCUGCUGGUAAACAUUAGACUCAGAUAUGAUGGUAUGAGCUAUGGAAAUGCCAGUAAUAACACCGUUCUUAAUCAAUCCAGCUUGCAUAAACAAAUGAAAUAAGUGUUUAACUGUUGUUCAAAAAUAAUAAUUUGAUCUUGACCUUCUUCUAGCAUGAUAGUGGCUUCAGUUGUCAAGGCAAUGCGUUCAUUCAGCUACACAGUUGUGGUGAAGGUGAACUAUCUGCCAUGACCUAUUUAAAAGACUGUCAUGUACAGUUAGAGAGAAGGGAGGGGGGUGGAUGUUUUGAUGUUGAGUGAAAGUUCCAUUGAGAACAAUGGAUAAGUGCUAAUCUCCAACAUGGGAGGACCAGCUUAAGGGGUCCCGCCUCUCCCCAGCCCCCCCCCCCCCCCAGUCCAGCAGGCUCCACUUGGCCCUAUCCCUAUCACCAGGGACUUGAGGGCGGCCAUGUUCCCUACCCUACAAGGUCCAGAGCAGUAGGCUACUCAUGACUGUCUCUGAGACAGAGCUAGCCCUGAUGUGGACCAGAGCUGUUCCAUUAGGAGCUGCUAUUAAGUAGUGUCUCCACCUCCCUCGCAUCUACACACAGGCCAAGAAAGGGCACAAAGGACUUGGCGUUUGGCAAGGUUUAAUUUACACAACUGUUCUGAAUGAUGGUGUUCCUCUCUAAUAGAUCAAAUAAACUGUAAGUGACUGAGUGUCUCUUAAUGUUUGCGCGCA